rnacentral:tRNA from 1 species
GCCGCCGUAGCUCAGCGGGAGAGCGCCCGGCUGAAGACCGGGUGGUCCGGGGUUCAAAUCCCCGCGGCGGCGCCA